rnacentral:rRNA from 1 species
AGAGUUUGAUCCUGGCUCAGGACGAACGCUGGCGGCGUGCCUAAUACAUGCAAGUCGAGCGAACGGACGAGAAGCUUGCUUCUCUGAUGUUAGCGGCGGACGGGUGAGUAACACGUGGAUAACCUACCUAUAAGACUGGGAUAACUUCGGGAAACCGGAGCUAAUACCGGAUAAUAUUUUGAACCGCAUGGUUCAAAAGUGAAAGACGGUCUUGCUGUCACUUAUAGAUGGAUCCGCGCUGCAUUAGCUAGUUGGUAAGGUAACGGCUUACCAAGGCAACGAUGCAUAGCCGACCUGAGAGGGUGAUCGGCCACACUGGAACUGAGACACGGUCCAGACUCCUACGGGAGGCAGCAGUAGGGAAUCUUCCGCAAUGGGCGAAAGCCUGACGGAGCAACGCCGCGUGGGUGAUGAAGGUCUUCGGAUCGUAAAACUCUGUUAUUAGGGAAGAACAUAUGUGUAAGUAACUGUGCACAUCUUGACGGUACCUAAUCAGAAAGCCACGGCUAACUACGUGCCAGCAGCCGCGGUAAUACGUAGGUGGCAAGCGUUAUCCGGAAUUAUUGGGCGUAAAGCGCGCGUAGGUGGUUUUUUAAGUCUGAUGUGAAAGCCCACGGCUCAACCGUGGAGGGUCAUUGGAAACUGGAAAACUUGAGUGCAGAAGAGGAAAGUGGAAUUCCAUGUGUAGCGGUGAAAUGCGCAGAGAUAUGGAGGAACACCAGUGGCGAAGGCGACUUUCUGGUCUGUAACUGACGCUGAUGUGCGAAAGCGUGGGGAUCAAACAGGAUUAGAUACCCUGGUAGUCC